CACGUAGGGUGCGAGCGUUGUCCGGAAUUAUUGGGCGUAAAGAGCUCGUAGGCGGUGUGUCGCGUCGGCCGUGAAAACCUGCAGCUUAACUGUGGGCUUGCGGUCGAUACGGGCAUCACUGGAGUUCGGCAGGGGAGACUGGAAUUCCUGGUGUAGCGGUGAAAUGCGCAGAUAUCAGGAGGAACACCGAUGGCGAAGGCAGGUCUCUGGGCCAUAACUGACGCUGAGAAGCGAAAGCAUGGGGAGCGAACAGG
rnacentral:rRNA from 1 species